UAGGGAAUCUUCGGCAAUGGACGAAAGUCUGACCGAGCAACGCCGCGUGAGUGAAGAAGGUUUUCGGAUCGUAAAACUCUGUUGUUAGAGAAGAACAAGGACGUUAGUAACUGAACGUCCCCUGACGGUAUCUAACCAGAAAGCCACGGCUAACUACGUGCCAGCAGCCGCGGUAAUACGUAGGUGGAAAGCGUUGUCCGGAUUUAUUGGGCGUAAAGCGAGCGCAGGCGGUUUCUUAAGUCUGAUGUGAAAGCCCCCGGCUCAACCGGGGAGGGUCAUUGGAAACUGGGAGACUUGAGUGCAGAAGAGGAGAGUGGCAUUCCAUGUGUAGCGGUUAAAUGCGUAGAUAUAUGGAGGAACACCAGUGGCGAAGGCGGCUCUCUGGUCUGUGACUGACGCUGAGGCUCGAAAGCGUGGGUAGCAAACAGC
rnacentral:rRNA from 1 species